UCACCGGGGCGACAGCAAUAUGAAGGUCAGGCUGAAGACCUUACCCGAUUUAGCUGAGAGGUGGUGCAUGGCCGUCGUCAGUUCGUACUGUGAAGCAUCCUGUUAAGUCAGGCACGAGCGAGACCCACGUCCACAGUUGCCAGCAUACCCUCCGGGGUGAUGGGUACACUGUGGAGACCGCCGCUGCUAAAGCGGAGGAAGGAGUGGGCAACGGUAGGUCAGUAUGCCCCGAAUCUCCCGGGCUACACGCGGGCUACAAUGGUUGGUACAAUGGGCAUCUACCCCGAAAGGGGAAGGAAAUCUCUUAAAGCCAAUCGUAGUUCGGAUUGAGGGCUGCAACUCGCCCUCAUGAAGCUGGAAUCCGUAGUAAUCGCGUUUCAACAGAACGCGGUGAAUACGUCCCUGCUCCUU
rnacentral:rRNA from 1 species